rnacentral:miRNA from 1 species
UGUGUGUGUGUGUGUAUAUG